rnacentral:rRNA from 1 species
CUUUCCCUCUUUCUUCAGGCCUAACACAUGCAAGUCGAACGGUAACAGGAAGCAGCUUGCUGCUUUGCUGACGAGUGGCGGACGGGUGAGUAAUGUCUGGGAAACUGCCCGAUGGAGGGGGAUAACUACUGGAAACGGUAGCUAAUACCGCAUAACGUCGCAAGACCAAAGAGGGGGACCUUAGGGCCUCUUGCCAUCGGAUGUGCCCAGAUGGGAUUAGCUAGUAGGUGGGGUAACGGCUCACCUAGGCGACGAUCCCUAGCUGGUCUGAGAGGAUGACCAGCCACACUGGAACUGAGACACGGUCCAGACUCCUACGGGAGGCAGCAGUGGGGAAUAUUGCACAAUGGGCGCAAGCCUGAUGCAGCCAUGCCGCGUGUAUGAAGAAGGCCUUCGGGUUGUAAAGUACUUUCAGCGGGGAGGAAGGGAGUAAAGUUAAUACCUUUGCUCAUUGACGUUACCCGCAGAAGAAGCACCGGCUAACUCCGUG